rnacentral:rRNA from 1 species
AUUGAACGCUGGCGGCAUGCCUUACACAUGCAAGUCGAACGGCAGCACGGGAGCAAUCCUGGUGGCGAGUGGCGAACGGGUGAGUAAAGUAUGGGAACGUGCCCAGUCGUGGGGGAUAACGUAGCGAAAGUUACGCUAAUACCGCAUACGAUCUAUGGAUGAAAGCGGGGGAUCGCAAGACCUCGCGCGAUUGGAGCGGCCGAUAUCAGAUUAGGUAGUUGGUGGGGUAAAGGCUCACCAAGCCGACGAUCUGUAGCUGGUCUGAGAGGACGACCAGCCACACUGGGACUGAGACACGGCCUAGACUCCUACGGGAGGCAGCAGUGGGGAAUUUUGGACAAUGGGCGAAAGCCUGAUCCAGCCAUGCCGCGUGCAGGAUGAAGGCCUUCGGGUUGUAAACUGCUUUUGUACGGAACGAAAAGGUUUGGCCUAAUAAGCUGAGCUCAUGACGGUACCGUAAGAAUAAGCACCGGCUAACUACGUGCCAGCCGCCGCAGUAA